GCUUUACAUUUCUUGAAAUAAUUUCUGAACACUGAACAUUGACUCUCAGUCUUUAUUUACCUGUUUCUUAUGGUUUCUCAUUAAGAUUCAUUAAAGCAAUUAAUGUAAAUGACAUCACCAAUGUCAUAGAAUAGCAUAGAUCUAAUAAUAGUGGGGCACAUUGUGAUGCAGUGUUACAACAUUCCCCGCUGUGCAACAGUGUUAAUUUUGACAGCAAAUUUUGAUUUAGCUUUAGUCAUAGUCUUUUGACUAAAAUGCCAUUUAGUUUUAGGCAUAUUUUAGUCAUCUCAGUUGUUUUUAGUUUUAGUCUAGUUUUAGUCGACUAAAUAUCAUAAGAUUUUAGUUGACUAAAUCUACAGUAAAUUUAGUCAGCUAAAAUAAUAGGUUUAGUUACAGUGUAAAGCAUUUAUUAAGUAUUUCUCCUAAAUUUAAUAAUUUUUAUAAAAAUUUAGUUUUAUCAUUACCGACACCGAUUUAACUGCUGUGAUACACAAUAUGCCUUUAUGUUAAAAUUAAAGGGGUCAUAUGAUGCGAUUUCAAAUUUUCCUUUCUCUUUGGAGUGUUACAAGCUCUUGGUGAAUAAAGAAGAUCUGUGAAGUUGCAGAGACUAAAGUCUCAAAUCCAAAGAGAUAUUCUUUAUAAAAUUUGAGACUCAUCCACGCCCCCUGAAACGGCUCGUUCUAACACGCCCCCACAUCUCUACGUCAGUAUGUGGGAAGAUUUGCAUAACGCCGCACAGAUGUUCACGCAAAGAAAGAAGGCGUACCUUUUAUUCUUGUUGUAGUAUUGUUGCCGCCGCAGCCAUGUCAUAUAGAUGCUGUGUGUUUUACUGUGAAAGUGAAACUUCUUUGUUUGGCCUUCCAAAAGAGGAUGAUAUCCAUUUCGUCAUGCCUGGAGCUGAUCCGUGCUGGUCGCUGAGGAAAUACAUCAACUUUGCACUGUGGAUCGCUGAAUCGGCUUUCACCGUGGAUGAAGCAGCGUCCAGUCCAGGGUCGUCACAUGUGGUUGCUGCAAGACCAAGUGAGUGCACGUGAAAUAAAUACUGCAUUACUGCAUGGCCA
ensembl:lncRNA